UUACAAUAGCAACGCCUCGCAGGUCUCAACAUCACAAUGGUCCCAGCAGCGCAACUCAAACAUUCUUCUCUGUUGACUAAGUUUCUUCAAUUCUUCGUACUUCUAAUGUGUCUGUACCCAUAGUAGCCGUAACAAUAGCGCCAACAACUCAACAAAGUAAUGAGCAAUGACAAUCAUGACAGAGACUAAUAAAAGGUGACACAGUCACUCACUGUAAUCAGUUUACAAACACGACCUUUACAUUUACAGUCUUAUACAGUAUCAUCAACAUUAUCCAACAUGUGGAUGUGGAUGAAACCUAUUUUUUUCACAAUAAUUAUAAUUAUUAGCGCGAAUGCAAGCAACGUGAACGAAAUAACAACACAGAACUUCGACGCGAUGGUGAAGAACAGUAAUAAAUUGUGGAUCAUGGAGUUCUACUCGCCAACGUGUCCUUACUGCAAGGAAUUCGCACCGGAGUACGAACAAGUUGGGAACGCGCUGGAGGGCACCAAUAUUAAAGUGGGACGUAUUGACGGAGUCCACAAUGAUCACCUUGCGCAAGUGUAUCAAAUCCGUGGAUACCCUACGGUGAAGCUGUUCAAACCCGAGAAUCCUACUCCAGAAGAUUAUAAUGGACCACGCAAGGCGUCUGUUAUUAUUGACACUGCGAAAGCCUUGCUCCACGACAAGCGAAUCAGGAGUUUUGGUGAAGUCUAUUUGAAUCUCCCGCAGACGAGAAGAAUACCACUAACAAAUGGUGCUGCUUCGCUUGGUAUCGAUGACAACUACUAAUUUGAGCUUAAAUCUAAAAUGAAAUAAAUAUUUUGAUGGGGA